rfam:Zootermopsis nevadensis contig5745, whole genome shotgun sequence.
GCCACGGUGGUCUAGCGGUUAGAACGCUGGCCUUGUAAUCCUGGGGUCCCGGGUUCGAUUCCCGGCGGUGCCU